GACGAACGCUGGCGGCGUGCUUAACACAUGCAAGUCGAACGGAAAGGCCCUGCUUUUGUGGGGUGCUCGAGUGGCGAACGGGUGAGUAACACGUGAGUAACCUGCCCUUGACUUUGGGAUAACUUCAGGAAACUGGGGCUAAUACCGGAUAGGAGCUCCUGCUGCAUGGUGGGGGUUGGAAAGUUUCGGCGGUUGGGGAUGGACUCGCGGCUUAUCAGCUUGUUGGUGGGGUAGUGGCUUACCAAGGCUUUGACGGGUAGCCGGCCUGAGAGGGUGACCGGCCACAUUGGGACUGAGAUACGGCCCAGACUCCUACGGGAGGCAGAAGUGGGGAAUAGUGCACAAUGGGCGGAAGCCUGAUGCAGCAACGCCGCGUGCGGGAUGACGGCCUUCGGGUUGUAAACCGCUUUCGCCUGUGACGAAGCGUGAGUGACGGUAAUGGGUAAAGAAGCACCGGCUAACUACGUG
rnacentral:rRNA from 1 species